AUUGAACGCUGGCGGCAUGCUUUACACAUGCAAGUCGAACGGCAACGAGGAGAAGCUUGCUUCUCUGUCGGCGAGUGGCGAACGGGUGAGUAUAGCAUCGGAACGUGCCAAGUAGUGGGGGAUAACCAAACGAAAGUUUGGCUACUACCGCGUAAGCUCCAAGGAGGAAAGUAGGGGACCUAAAUAAGGCCUUACGCUAUUUGAUCGGCCGAUGUCGGAUUAGCUAGUUGGUGGGGUAAUGGCUCACCAAGGCAAUGAUCCGUAGCGGGUCUGAGAGGACGAUCCGCCACACUGGGACUGAGACACGGCCCAGACUCCUACGGGAGGCAGCAGUGGGGAAUUUUGGACAAUGGGGGAAACCCUGAUACAGCCAUGCCGCGUGUAUGAAGAAGGCCUUAGGGUUGUAAAGUACUUUUGUUAGGGAAGAAAAGCUAGUUUUUAAUAAAAAGUAGUGAUGACGGUACCUAAAGAAUAAGCACCGGCUAACUACGUG
rnacentral:rRNA from 1 species